rnacentral:rRNA from 1 species
GGAGUGGACGCAUCACUGGUGUUCGGGUUGUCAUGCCAAUGGCACUGCCCGGUAGCUAAAUGCGGAAGAGAUAAGUGCUGAAAGCAUCUAAGCACGAAACUUGCCCCGAGAUGAGUUCUCCCUGACUCCUUGAGAGUCCUGAAGGAACGUUGAAGACGACGACGUUGAUAGGCCGGGUGUGUAAGCGCAGCGAUGCGUUGAGCUAACCGGUACUAAUGAACCGUGAGGCUUAACCUU